rnacentral:lncRNA from 1 species
GGGGGGGUUAUUAGUGUGCACGUGUGUGUGUGUGUGUGUGUGUGUGAAACUGUUAAGAGUGUGUGUAAGUGUGUGUUUACAGUGUGUGUUUACAGUGUGUGUUUUGGGGUGUGGUGCAUGCCCCCCCCCCAGUUUAAUCAGAUGCAUGAAUGUGUAAAAAUGCCAUUUAGCACGACACACCGAUGACUGCAGGCCUGUUAGUGGGUCUGACAGACGGACGGACGGACGGACGGGUUUGAGUGACAGCCCCGGCGCUGGUCCGUCUGUGUGUGACAGACAAAUACUAACACACACAAAUACUAACACACACACACACACACACACAUACUAACACACACACAAAUACUAACACACACACACACGGCGAUUGUUAACGCUCAGUAUAUUUGCUAAUGGGAGCUGUCUGAGGGGUGAGGCGGCGUUAACCUCUGAUCCACCGCGGGUCAACCACUUAUGAGCGAGAUAGAAUUCAUUAGGUUAGACCCACUUCAUCAUCAACAUCUGACUGAGCGAUUUCACAGCCAUGACACUGACAGACACACCGAGGAGGCGUGAAGGAGGCGCCGCCAGAACUCCGAGGAUCCUGACCGUAGACUGGAUCUUCAGAUGUGGACCCUAACAGGCCCCGCCCCCCUCUGAGGGUCAGUUAGUCGGUCCAGAAUCUCAUAAACUGAAUUACCGUUAUAACAGGAACAGCUGAGAGGGACCUGUGGUUUUCAUUUAGAGUGAAUCUGUCUCAUAAACUUUGAUUAUAUAUAAUUUUAUUUUUCUCUCUUUAUAGAAUGAAUCUUAUUAUUAUAAUCUGUGUUUUUUUUUAUUUUGGCCCCUCCCAUUUUAGACGAGACUGAAGGGCAAAACAAAUACAGUCUGAGUCAGAGGAUCACAGUCUAACCCCCGACCUCCACCUUCAUCCUGAUCGUCUCCUAAAAGGUCGUAUCCUCCGAUCGUAGCUGAUCGUAACCAUUCAAGUUAACGUGUCGAUUUACACCGACUUCUUUCAAAACGGGCGGAGACGAACAAGUGAAAGGUUUUUAGACGUCAUUUCACCCCGAUGACACCAUGGAUGAGGAGAUGCUGAUUCUAGAAGUCUAGAAGUAGAUUUCCUCCUCUGGAAGGACACAAUCUACUGCUUAUAUGUCUAUGUGUCUGUCUUUAUAGAGACGACUCGUUGUCGUGUGAUUGAACGUGAAUCUGCUGUUCCGGAUGCGGUGAAAAUUCGGCGUUAGUCUUCAGACAGUAUUGGUUCAGUGGUCGUCCUUCCUGGUGGAGAUGUCUGAGGUCAGUUACAGUCCGAUCAGCUGAGCAGACACGUCCUAACGAGGAUUUCUGACCCCUGAGGUGUUUCACCUGCAGAUCUUCGUUUGUCCUCUGAUAUUAUUUUAAAUGUUCUGUAAUAUUUUCAGAUCAGAGUCUCUGCGGCUGCUCCUCCCUCUGCUCCUCUCUCUGCUCCUCUCUCUGCUCCUCUCUCUGCUCCUCCCUCUGCUCCUCUCUCUGCUCCUCCCUCUGCUCCUCUCUCUGCUCCUCUCUCUGCUCCUCUCUCUGCUCCUCCCUCAGUCGUGCUUCAGUCUUCUGCUCAUUGGGCCUCUCUGAUCAUGUGAUCAGUGAGUGGAGGAAGUUUUCCUGAGGUUGGCUCCAGCAACACCUGAGAGUCUGAGGAGCUAAACAGUCACCCAGCCGGUCUGACUGGAUCUCAGACGGUUUAACUGAGUUUCCCUCCCACCACAGAAAACAGCCGACCGGGCGGCAAUUAAGAUGUUAACAGAUAUCUUCAUAAGGACGACAGAGCCGGGGGGUGGGGGGAGGAAGAGACCCUAACCGCAACAGAUUUCUCCCACUUCUAAUUAAUAGCGACGGCAAUUAAAGUGUAACUCAGCCCUCCUCCCCCCCCUCACCUCCCUGUCCUCUCUGCCAACAGCUCUGCAGGGUCGUGACGCAUCCUCUUCUGAUGUUCGCCCUCCUGUUGACGGCACUUCUGAUAAAACCGGCGUGUCGAAGGAGUGGGCAUGGACCGAAGUUCGCCGUCGUCUCCUCAGGGCUAAUCCUCGGCUGAAGGUGUCGUCAUCAUCAUCAUCAUCAUCAUCAUCAGAUCUUGGCAUUUAUAAGACUUAUGCAUCAUGUAGUUGUGUGUGUGUUUGUGUUUGUGUGUGUUUGUGUGUGACGACAGGGCCAGGUGAAUGAUAGUCCCUCUAAUUAGCAGGGUUGUGGCUCCUGCUCCGUGUGGCUCCAGAGACCGGUGGUCGGGGAGCGGGAGGUUCGGGUCUCGGUGGGGAGGACUCAGAAAAACAGCUUUAAUUGGUGCCAGUUAUUUAUAGACAAAGCACCUCUUUCAAGGUUAGUGGGUUAAGUCUGCUCGCCGCUCUGCUGGGACCGCCAUGUUCAGGGGCGACAAACAGAGGCUGCCAAAAAAACCUGCCACACCUCUCCAUCUCUGUGUGUGAGCGCGCACGCACACACACACACACACACACAGGCGGAGUGAAGUGCAGCUCUCCUGCACUCAGACCUGCUGUUUACACUCUUGGGUUUGUGCAGAGCUGCAGGAAGAGUGUGAUAGGAGGAGAAUAAUGGACAGAGCGAGCGAGAAACAGAGAGAGAGAGAGAGAUAGUGAGGCGUGGAGGGAAAAGACAAGGUGUGGAGGUUGCUCCUGGGUUGAAUCCCUCAUUGGAGGCGUCUUCAUCUGCCGCCCAAUCCUCCCGGGGGCUCCUACUUCUCCAUUUCAUUAGUUUGUCAGUCUGCACCGAGGAUUGUGCAUUAGGCCUUUAAUUUAGUGGAUAGCCAGAGGCUGAGCAGCCCUCUCAGCUCCAACAG